UUCAGCAACAUCAAGAGAAGAGUAUAUUCUUGAUGCUAGUUCUGCUGUUGGUGAAAUAUAUGGGGAUAAUUCAUACUUACAAGUGGAUACAACAGUAAUUUUUCAAGUUAAAUGCGAGUCGGAUGCCUAUGUUCUACUGCAAGAAGAUGUAACUGAUAAAGAUAAGAACAUUGUUGAAAUCGUUAUUGGUUUUGGACCAUACAAGCAUAAAUCUGUUCUUAGAAAAGAGGGAAACAGUCUGAUACGAGAGCAUACUGAGAGAAACAUUCUUUCCAAUGCGGAAUUUCGCUACUUUUGGAUCAGUUUUGCUGAGGAGGAGGUACGUGUUGGUAAAGGUCACAUACUGUACGUAGAUCAGUUCUUGGAAUAUGACAAUCUGAACCAUGAUAUCAACUAUUUAUCAUUUGGAAAUGGUGAUGGUGUGUCAGGUUCCUGGAAAUUUGAUAUUGGUAAGUGUAUUGUAACAUUUCUGU
rnacentral:lncRNA from 1 species